AUGCACUUUGGUGGCCGAGCUAUCUGGAGGCCGGUAUCACACUCUGUUUGUCCUGGUCGUGAUCAGUGCCACGCUGCUUACAACAGGAAUUCCGCUUUUGGGGGGUUGGUGCAUAUGUUCUUCCUGUGCCCUCUCAAGUGCAUCUGGAGCAGCAAGUCUGAUAAUUUCAAGACACAACAGAUGCAGAUUGUUAUGUCGCCACGAAGAGUUCUUGAGAGGACCUUGGUUCUUCUAGUAGCGCAGAAGCUCUGGUGGGAGUAUAUCCCUUGCCGGAACAUCUUACAGCCCAAGCUGGAUCAUUACCUACAGAGAACAAAAACAAGCAGCAAAAAAGGACACCUUGGGGUUCCGCUCGACAGGCCCCCGCGUCGCCCCCCGCUCGGGCGACUCGGGUGGCUCCCUAACGCUAGCCGCCGCCGGGGCCUAGCUCAUCUUCCUCCCUUCCUCCCGCCGUGCUGGAGGACGCCGCCGGCUUGCGCCCGGAGGCCGACGGCGGUGGCGGGGGCCCUCCCUCGCGUGUCUCAGGGGUGGCGGGGCCCCAACAUGCGUGGAGGUGCGGCCGAUCUAGAAGCGACGGCAAUGACUUCGACGGCGGCGGCGGUCGGCCCGGCAUCGGGCCACGGGCGGCUCCUUGCGGCGGCGGGCCUGGAUCAGGCGGCGGCGCGAUGCGGUCUUCGGCGGCAGUUGUCAAUUUAUUACCGUCUAGUCCAGCACGAGCCCUUUGAGUUGGAGACGGGCACACGUUCUGCAUCUCCAUCUCCUCCGACUGUUGCAUCGCUGGUAUCUUCAGGAGCCAUGUCGCUUGAGUCGGCAACCACAUCACUAGCAUCGUUAUACGAUCCAAUGUCCUCUUCCACCAGCGUUGCCUGCUCAAGCUUAUCUCUGUGUCACGAAGAAGAAGAUCAUCGAUCGUCUCAGAUAAGCCUGGUGGGAGAAAACAGCAGCAUGGACUUUAAACUCCAGUUGCUUGAAGCUAUUACAGACAACUUUUCAGAGGAACAGAAGCUUGGCAGCGGCGAUUAUGGAGAAGUUUACAGGGCGGUGCUUGAUAACGGGGAAUAUAUUGCUCUGAAGAAGCUUCAUCAAUUACAAGGACUUGAUGAUAAGCAAUUUCGCAGUGGAUUCCGUGACCUUGUCAGGGUCUCUCACAAAAAUGUUGUAUGCUUAAUUGGCUACUGCCACGAAUCUCGGAAGAAAUACGUUGAGCACAAGGGGGAACUUACUUUGGAUAAAAUAACUGAGAGAGUUCUCUGCUUCGAGUAUAUGCAUGGCGGGAGCUUCGAUAAACAUAUUGCAGAUGAAUCUUGUGAACUUGAUUGGCCCAUUUGUUACAAAAUCAUUAAAGGGACGUGCGAGGGGUUAAAUCACCUUCACACCAAGCAGGAAAAGCCUAUUUUCCAUCUGGAUUUAAAGCCUUCUAAUAUAUUGCUGGAUGAGAGCAUGACGCCCAAAAUUUCAGAUCUUGAUCUGUCCAUACUUGUUUCUUCGACAAAAACGCACGAAACAGAGAUACUCAGAGGCACACAAGGGUACAUGCCGCCAGAAUACAGAGAUAGUGGCUUGGUAUCAAACAAGUUUGACGUGUUCAGUUUGGGCAUCAUAAUUAUAAAAACAGUGGCUGGAAAUAUGGGCUACUUCCGUUAUUCUGAAAUGUCUCAUAAAGAUUUUAUUGAGUUUGUAAGUGAAAAUUGGAUGAAGAGGUGGCAGGCAAUGCCGGGUUACUAUUCAUCACAUGAAAUAGACAUCCUAACAGUGAUUACAUGUAUUGAGACCGCAUUAAGAUGUGUCGAUACCGACCAAAAAAAGAGGCCCUGCAUAGAGGAUAUUGUCCAUGAACUGGACGAACUAGAAGCUGAGAUUAAGAAAAUAAGGUUACUAGCUCCUGAUCCUAUGCAGAUUCUCUUGAGUAAUCAAGGCCCUGGCAUGGAGUUUCCAAAAAUUUCCAGGCUAUAUGAUCAGAAAAUUGGGAGUGAUGGGUAUGGAGAUGUUUACAGGGCAUUGUACAAUGGGGAAGAGAUUCUUGUGAAGAAGCUUCAUUCCUUGGAGGGACUUGAUGACAAAGAAUUUGAGAAUGAAAUGCAUAUCCUUACCAAGGUCCAUCACAAAAAUGUUGGUCGUUUAAUUGGCUACUGCUACAAAACUUGCCUUAUAAAUGUUGAGCGCAAUGCGGAACAUGCUUCCUCAGUGGCAACAGAGCGAGUUCUAUGCUUUGAAUAUACACAAAGUGGAAGCCUUGAUAAACAUAUUGCAGGUUUUGGUUUGUGGAGACUUAUUGAUUCGACAAAAAUGCAUCAAACAAAGAUCUUCAAAGAAACACACGGGUACAUGCCACCAGAAUAUGUCGACACUGGCUUUAUAUCAAACAAGUUUGACGUGUUCAGUUUGGGUGCCAUAAUUAUAAAGCUGAUGGCCGGAAAUAUGGGCUACUCUCGUUGUUUCAAAAUGUCCCCCAAAGAUUUUAUUCAACAUGUUAGUGACAAUUGCACGAAAAGGUUGCAUGCAAUGCCAGGAUAUUCACCAUAUGAAAUAGACAUCCUACGAGUGAGUACAUGUGUUGAGAUUGCAUUAAGAUGUGUGGACGAAGACCGAGAGAAAAGGCCCUGUAUAGAAGACAUUGUCCAUAAACUGGGGGAACUAGAAGCUAGGGUUAAGACAAUAAUGUUACUACCUCAUGAUCAUAGGCAAAGCCUCUUGACUGACCUGGACCCUGGCUUGUACUCUCCAAAAGAAAGCAAGCUAUAUAUGUCCCAUAAGUUGGCCCAAGAUGGAGCUGUUACAGGGUAUAAAUCAAAUUGGUCCAGGAUUGAUUCUCAGUCUGGCGCCACCAGCACUGCUCAUGGUCAGUCAAAAGACCUAAGUCUCCAGUAUAACUGCAACUCAUCAAUAACCAAGGAGCUCUUUAUGCAGACGGGGUCUAUUCCACAAUAUAUGUCCUUACAACAUCUAAGAGACAUCACAAACAACUUCUCUGAUGAGCGAAUAAUUGGUAGAGGUGGUUUCUAUGUGGUAUAUAAGGGAGUGCAACAAAAUGCGAAAAUGGUUGCAGUGAAGAAGCUUGUGCAUCCAACGGUGAGCACACAGGUGGAAUUUGAGAAGGAGGUUAAACUCCUUAUGAAACUAAAGCACCCAAAUAUAGUGCAACAAGUAGGCUACUGCUAUGAAACACAGAAUCUGUAUAUGGUUCAUGAAGGAAAAUGCAUUUUUGCUGAGUAUACUCACACUUUGCUUUGCUUAGAACUUCUGAAGAACGGAAGUCUUGAUAAGUAUAUUUCAGCUGCAUGUUCUGGACUUGAUUGGCACGGACGCUGCAAAAUAAUUGAGGGGGUUUCCUAUGGUCUAGAGUACCUUCAUGAGCAAUCUAAAGAACCCAUUCUUCACUUGGACCUAAAACCUGCGCACAUAUUGCUUGAUGUCAAUAUGCUGCCAAAAAUUACAGAUUUUGGUCUGUCAAGACUAUUUGAUCAAAGCCGAACUAUUCAGACUGCAAAUACUAGUGGAACACUAGGUUACAUGGCGCCAGAAUACCUGCGAGGUAUAAUCACACCUAUGUCAGACAUAUUCAGUUUGGGUGUUAUAAUCUUGGAGGUAAUAACAGGGCACAGGGACUACCCAUAUGAUAUUAGAUCAUCUUCCAAGGAAUUCAUCGAGCACGAGCUUCAAAACUGGAGAAAUAGGCUGCAAAAAGAACCAGGGUCUAGAUCGCUAGAAACAGAUUGCCAACAAAUAAAAAAAUGCAUUCAGAUAGGUCUAAUCUGCGUGAAUCCUGAGCGGACCAAAAGACCUACAAUGAAGAAAAUUAUUGAUAUGCUUGAAGGCUUGGAAAGUACGGAUUGUCUACUGUAA
rnacentral:rRNA from 1 species